CAUGUUCAUCUCUACUUGUAAUAAUUAUUCUACUCCCAAAACCGAACCAAUCAUGAUUUCCAACCAGCGUUUGUAAUUGUUCUAAUUGAUCCACAUCAUCAAGAAUGACAAGGACUCUUUUGCGACAUAGCCGCCGUCUAAUCAAAUUAAUUCCUUUAUGAACGUCCCAUAUGAUUAAAUUUCUUUCCAUGAGGACCUCAGAAAGAAGCUGUUCUUGUAAAGGAACCAGACCUCUUGUUACAGAGACUUCUCUAACGUUGGCAAGAAAGCUGCUAGCUUCAAAUUGAUCUUUUAGCGUAUUGUAUAAAACUUUAGCAAGCGUAGUUUUUCCAAUUCCACCCAUUCCACAAAUACCAAUGAACCGAACAUCAUCUAAUCCUGCUUCUAAAUAUCCAUUCAUUUUCUCCAUGCGUGACGCUAUUCCAACAAGGCCAUCAACAUCACUUGAGAACGUUGGGUUUAAUCUUUUUGAUAUCUCUUUAACAAUGUCUUUGAUCAAUUCUGAUUCAUGCCUACGUUGAAGAACAAUAAAUCCAAACAGGAAACAUUAAUUUGCCAAAAAUAAAGUGCCUAAAAUAUUUAUUGAUGCUCAACUCGAGACUCACAAAACAAAAAUGUUGCCAUAGACCAUAAUUGAUGAAACAGCUUGUAAUAGUUUUACUUUUAUGAAAAAUUUUAUGUCUGCGACCAAUGAACCCCACUUCAACCCCAACAAAACAAAAUUUCCAGGUAAACUUAUUAUUAAUUUAGAAUUCGGAAUAAUUUUAUCGGAUAUUAUCAUUUUAUUAUCAAAGUUAUUCUGACAUAUCAUGUCAGUACCAUGGUUUGUCGAAUAGGACAUUUUACUACUACACGUUUGCACCGUUAUCAAUUCACUACUAUUCUGUUAAGAACAUUAAAAAUUUGCUAAUGUCAUAAGGGCACCAAAGACAUUUCUAGCUGUAAGGGCAUUAAAGGCAUUUUAGGUUGAAGCCUAAACAUUGCAUUUUUGGAAAAUAAUUAAAGAUUAAAGAAUUAAAAAAUUAAACCCUAAGAUCGUUAUUGUUGACUUCUUUUUUAAAGCUUAAAUUACAAAGGGUAAAAUUGUCUUUUAAACUCUUGGGGGUAAAAUCGACUUUUAACUCAAUUUCUGUUAAACAUUAAUGUUUUCUUAACGGAAUAGUAGCGAAUUGAUAACGGCACAAAUGUUUGGUAGUAAAAUGUACUUUUCGGCAAACCAAGGUACUGACAUGAUAUGUCAUAAUAACUCUGGUAGUUAAAUGAUAAUUUCCCUAAUUUUAUUAUUAUUUUAAUUUUUCUUUAUUCUCAUCUGAAAUUGAGGUAAGAUUGGAGUGAGCUCUCUCUUACUGAACAUCUAAAAUUUGAAGUAUCUGUGUUGUUAUUAGUUCAACUUUACUUUGCGAGGUUGAGGUGGCUCUCUGUCACCACUCUACUUUUACAAUUGUGCUUUUUCUAAUGACACAUUCAUGAUUAGGAGAAAUUUUACAAUACAUCAAAGGUAUCAUGUCAACAAUAUAACAAACAAAUGAUGUUAUGACAUGUAUUUAUUUAUUUUAAAAAAUCACUUUACAAGUGAUAUUUACAUUAUAUUUAAUUACACAUGUCAUUCAUACAUCAAUUAGUUGUAUUAUCUUGAUGCAUUGUAGAAUUUCUUCAUGGUUAGACUCAAUUGGCUAUGAUGAGCCCUGGGAAUCAAGGCUCAUUUGAAACUUUUCCGCCGAGUCUUGAAUUAACAGUAGAUUUAUGAUAUGGCCUAAAUUGAGUCUAAGGGUUAUUCUAACUAAUAGUUGUUGCUUGGUAGCCAAGGUGCUAAAAGCAAAAUAUUACAAGCAAACAGAUUUCCUCAAGGCAAAAAUAGGCUCGAACCCUUCCUACAUCUGGAGGAGUAUUGUGUGGGGGAGACAUGUGCUGCAAAAAGGGAUUAGGUGGAGGAUAGGAAAUGGAGAAAAAAUUCAGAUUCAUUCAAGCAACUGGAUUCCUAGGCCCUCAACCUUCAAACCAAUCCUAGUACAGUCCUUGCCUACUGAAUCUAGAGUCUCAAAGCUUCUUGAUCAAAAUCUCCAAUGGAAUGAAACAAUGAUCAAUCAAAACUUUGCAAAGGAAGAUGCUGAAAUCAUAAGGAAUAUCCCUUUACUGAGAACUCCUCAAGAAGAUAUGGUGAUAUGGCAUUAUGAUAAGAAAGGUAUAUACUCAACAAAGAGUGGCUAUCAACUACCUCUCAAAAUUAAGUUCUCUGAAUCUCCAGCUGGAUCUACAAGAGCUCCACAGGGCUGGCAACAUAUUUGGAGGCUAAACUUACCAGAGAAAAUUAAGAUCUUUGUGUGGAAAGCUGCAAAGAACCUGCUGCCAACGGCAGAAAAUCUGUGGAGAAGGAAAGUGCUUAAGGAACCGACAUGCCAUUUAUGCAAAGCAGGUUGUGAAGAUGUUUUCCAUGCCUUGAUGGAAUGCAGAGUGGCUUGGAAAAUCUGGAAAUGUACUCACUUGGAGAAUGAGGUGAAGAGUGUCAUUAGAGAAGACAUGCUUAGUGUCAUGAUUGGGGCCAUGAAUAAUUGGGCUAAGUAUGAGGUAGAUUACGUGGCCACGAUUUGGUGGGUUGCUUGGCAUGCUAGAAACAAACUCCUUUUUCAAGGGAAAAAGUUAGACCCAAUAGGGUCAGUGGCUAGGGGCAAAGCAGUUAUGGAAGUGUAUCAGGCACAGCAGGUUAAAGAACGGGAGAGCCAUGGAAAUACAGUAGAGGGAAAGAUGCAGAUACGGACUCCACCACCAAACAACAAAGUGAAAGUCAAUGUUGAUGCAGCAGUCAAAGAAGAUAGGAAGAGUGCAGGCUUGGGCGUGGUAUCAGAAAUCAUCGAGGGCAAGUGUUAGCAGCAGCAGUGAAAAGCAUGAAUUUCCAGGGGAACAUAGCUAUAGCAGAAGCUCAUGCUGUCAAGCGGGGUAUGGAGGUAGCCAAGGAUCUUAGUCUGUCAAGUGUGAUUAUAGAGACCGACUGCAAAAAUGUAGCUGACUUAGCAAACAAGAAAGUUAGCAACAGGACAGAGAUUUGGUGGACUAUGUCAGACAUCCACAAGAGCACACAAGAUUUCCAAUUGAUAUCUUUCCAACAUGUUCCAAGGAAGUGUAAUGAUUUUGCCCAUUUUUUAGCUAAAAGAGCUUUGUGUAGCUCAGAAUCUGUUAUCUAGAGAAACAAUUUCCCAACUGAUGUGUUAUGUAUAGCUGAAAGUUUAGUUUAAUGAAAGGUUUACUUUCUUUUAGAAAAAAAAAAACUAACAGCUGUUGUUACGUGUAAUUCUUUGAUUUGACUAAGGAGUUAGACAUUUUGAUAACACAUGGCUAAUCUAGUCUUUAUUGAAAAUUUCUCUUUUCUUUAAAUAUUUUCUCAUUUUUCCUAAGAAAUUUGUUUAUACUUGAUUGAUUUUAAAUUUAGUUAUAUACAAACUUACUUGUUAGGAUAAAUGGGAAAAUGUUUAAAUAAAAGAGAUUUUUAAUAAAAACAAAAGUCGUCACGUAUUGCCAAUGUGCUUGUUAGUCAAAUCAAAGAAUUAUAAUUUAUAUUUAACAAUAGUUGUAAAUUAACAUGAUCUUGAGUCAAAACAUUCCAGACUAUGCUAUAAUAAUAGUGUUGCUAUUUAUCCUGAGUUAAGUCCACAGUCAAAUCUCAAAAAUGGUUCUUUUGUUAUAUUUUCUAAACUUAUGAAAUUGUAAAAAGUCUAAUAUUUAAAGACUAAUACUAUUUUAAACUUUUCCUAUUAAUCCAUUGACAACUGAAUUUUGCAUUCUAGUACCGGGAUAACUCUAUGUAUUCUCCUACAUUUAUUUUUAAGGUAUUCUAGUAUUAUUAUUAACUCAGAUCUGCUAAGUCGAGAACAACAAAAUGUAAAUAAUGAUAACAUUCAACUAUUUUUAAUAUUUUUAAUUAUAACGUCUUCUAAAUUAAUCAUUCAGGAAUGGUAUUUUUUAUACUAUUUCUUGUAUUACAUCCUUCGUUAAAUGCUACUUCUAUUCUUCUAUUUGUUAUAACACUUAGUUUAAUACUAUAAUCUUUAUGACUUCCUAUUACGACUAGUCUUCUUAAAUUAUCAACUUGUUUAAUAUAUUCACAAAAUGCUUCAAUAAAACAAUUUUAUAAAGUAAAACAAGUAUAAUUAUCUAAAGGCAUGCAAGCAAAUUUUGAUUAAAAAAAUUGUUAUAAGCAGUUGUUCUUCUCUACUAGAUACUCCUAGAUUCUUUUAUAAACUUUCGUCAAAUUUCUUAGAUAACAAGUUUUGUCAACAAUAUUAACCAAAUUUGUAAAAAGAAAAAAGUUGAAAAACUAUUUUGUAACAGUUCAGAGUAUAAAAUUAAACUUUUUGAUUAAAACUAAAGGUUUUUGAAAAAAACGCUCUCUCUAUUUGGGGCAUGGAAAUCCCAAUACAAAACCACCCUUUUUCUUUCGAAUGCAUAUCCUUGAGCUAAAACGGUACUUAGGAGCAAAAUUGGGCACUCAAAGGUCCUUUUUUAAGGCUUAGAUUUUUCUGAAAACCUAAAUUUUGUUCUAUAGUCUAAUUUUAUUCUUUACAUAUAGAAAACAUUCUUUAAAUACAAAUAAAAGGUAAAAGAUUUGCAACAUAUAAAGUUAUUCUUUUAUAAACAUAUAGAAGUCUACAAAAGAUUGGGUUUCUUUGUUAGAGAAGAACUAAGUAACUUAGUUGCAAUACAUUAUGCUGAAUAAAACUAACUUACUUGUAAUGACUUUUAGGAAAUUGAACAAGUGCCUUGGAAGUUCUACAAAUUGAAUUUUGCCACAAGAUUUUUUUUUUAUAUGAUCUUAUAAUCCUCCCUAAAGGAAAACAACUCCUAUUUAUAGAGUUCCUAAAAGCCUUUAUUCUUAUCUCUUGCUUUCCAAAUGUGUGGACCAAAUUCUAGGGAGUUUGGUAUCCAUUGAGAAAAAGAUGUUGUCUUUACGUCCAUGCAAAAAAGGUGAGUAUCGACAGAAUUAUCACCGCGACCUUUUCUUUUUAAAGUUGUGCUUUAAAAAGGUAGUGAGUGGACCACUACCGAAUCAAGGUUAUAACAUGUUGUCAAGGUUAUGGGCCUCAAUACCAUCUAAAUCGUUGUAGAAGUUUCUACCUUUAUCUUCUUCUUCACUUGAUAGAUCUUUCAUAAGAGAUUUGUAGGCCUUGAUAUCUUCUUUGUAUUGCUCUCGAUAAAAAUCUACAAGUUGAUAAUUUGUGGUCUUUGAAAUAAAAGGGAUUUCGGGUAUAUCUUGAAGAGAAUAUAUCUUUUGAUUAAAAUCUUUAGCAAUCAAUUUAGAAUGACCAGUAAAUUCUCAAAUCUCAAAUUCCCUUGCUAUUAUUCCAGUUUUCCAAUGUCUAAUCUACUUGGUUAAAGAAUUAGUUGUGUAGAUCCAAGGAAUAUUCAAACCUUUUAAGUUUUCAAGUUCUUUAAAGUUGUUAGAUCCCUUAAGAAAAAAUAUGAGUGUUGGGCUUGAAACUCAUAAUAUACAUCUUCCUUGAAUCUCCAUUCUGGUGCUUUUUAUUGGAUAUAAGCCACCACAAAUCAUUUUCGUACUGCCAUUAGGUUAAGCAUGAUUGAUGCUAAUUUUCUUCCUAAUGCAUCUAUCUAGACUGGGUUUCGAACAAUGAUUUGAUUAAGAAAACCAAAAUCCAACAAUAAUUGUGGAGUUAAUAUUAGUGAUUUAUCUAUGAGUUUUUGUUCUAAUGGUUUGUAUAGUCCAAGAUCAUUUCAAUAUUGCUCUAUUGAAGCAUUUAGACAAUAUAUUAAACAAGUUAAUAAUUUAGGAAGACUAAUUGUAAUAAGAAGUUAUAUAUAUUGUAACAUUAAACUAAGAGUUAAUGAAAGAUACAAUAUAAAAAAUAGUGUAGACAAUAUCUUCCUCAAUGAUUAAUUUAGAAGAAGUUAUAAUUAAAAAUACUAUAGAUAGUCGAAUAUUAAGGUUAUUUACAUUUCACUAUUCUCAAUUUAACAAAUCUAGGUUAACAAAAAUACUAUAAUACCUUAAAAAUAAACAUAAGAUAAUACAUAAAAAUGUCCUAUUUAUUAGAAUCUAAAUUCAAGGAGUGGAUUAAAAGAAGUUUAAUUUGAAAUAAGAAUAGUCUUAAUUUAUUAGACAUUUCACAGUUCUAUAAGAAAUUUAAAAAGUAUAAAAAAGAAACCAAUUCCUUUCAGAAAAGAAAAAGACAAAGAAACCCAUUUGGAGUUUGACUCCGGGUAAAAACAGCAGCACUCGUAAUAAAAACAAUUCAAAAUUAAUUCUGAUAAAAAUUUGACUAUGUUGUAGCUUCUAAACAGAUCAGGUCUCCAGCGAUGUGACGUGUGUGUGUUUGUAUCAGGCAAAUGGUGACACGUCACAACUAAAUAAGUAAAAAAUUAUUAGCGUGAAUAAAUAAUUAAACAAUAAUAAAUAAAUUAAUGGAAAGAACCUGUCCUGCAAGUGCAAUCCAGCGAGACUGGCGACUCUUGUCAAAGCAGCUCUCCAUUUUAGCACCUUCUCUUGAUUCUCCUUAAACUCCUCUUCAUAUUUAGCAAACACUCUCUCAAAAUCUUCUCCUUUCUGCUUCCGCACAUCUGCCGGAUCUACGCCGUAAAAGACGGCGAAAACUUUACGAUCCUUCUUCUUGUUCCCGCACUCAACAAUUUUCGCAAGCUCAUCCAAACACCACGGGGAAGAAGCGUAGUUUUUCGAUAAGAUUACAAUCGAAACAUUGGAUUCUUCAAUUGCUUUCGAGAGCUCUGAUGAAAUCUCGUUUCCUCUCUCCAGUGUUUCGUCGUCCUUAAAUGCGACGAAUCCGUUGCGAAUUAAAGCAGCGUGGAGGUGGUCGGUGAAAUUGUUGCGAGUGUCUUCGCCUCUGAAACUCAAAAAGACGUCGUAUUUGGUUUGAAGAAUUUGAUGAUGAGUGGAAGAAGACGAAGUAUGAGAGGCCGCCAUUUCGAAGGCCUUUGGGAUCUGUGGCUAUUAGAGUUUAGAGAAGCGUUUAAGCAAAUGAAAAGAUUAUAAAAUAAAAAGUAAAAAAUCUGAAGCGGUGUCGGCGAGUUUUCGACAGCGACGUUGGACUGUCUUAAUAAUUUGAUUUGAUAGACCAAAUGACGUCCGAUGACCGUUUUGAGGAUAUCAUCAAUGCAGGGUGUGGACGGCGUGGCACAACGUAAGGGAUUACGUGAGUGAAUGAAAAUAUAAAUAAAUAAAAUAGGGAGGGUUUUUGUAAUUUAAUUUUUUAUAUUUUAAAUUGUGAUAUAAAAUUUGAGUGAUUGAUUUUAUAUUAUUUAAUAAUAAAUAUAAAAAAUCAAAAUAAUAUAUAAUAAUAUUAAUUCAUCUAUCAUUAAAUUAUAUAAAAUUAAUGACUUAAAAUUUAUAUCAAAAUUUAAAUAAGUAUUCAAAAUAAUAUAUAACCCGAGUAAAAUUAAAGAAAACGAUGAAUGUACAAUAACGAUUUUGUAUAACAAUUUGAAGUAUAACUACGGUGCAUCUAAUACACUAUAUAUCCGUUAUUUUAUUAUUAUUAUUAAUUUUUUAUUAUUUUAAAUAAUUAAUCCAUUAUAUAUAUGUUUUAUGCUCUUUUGCCAUGUAUGCUAAAGAAAAUUCAAUACAUCUAAUGUUAAAUUACAUUCUAUUAAUGAAUAAUUUAUUCCGGACAACUAAAAUUUAUUUGAGAUGUUAGUUGAUGCAACUCAAUAAAAUUAAUAAUUUGAUAGACUAUAUUGAAAGAAAUUUUAAAAUAUAUCAGAGAAUUAUCAUGUCAGUAAUAUAAUAAAUAAAAAAUAUUAUGAAUUACAUAUUUUUGUUUUUGAAAAAUUAUCAUAUAAGUAGUGGUUAUAUUAAAUUUCUUCUAGAUUAAAUAGUUUUAAUUAGAGAAAACCCCUGGAGCAAUGUUUUCUCUGAUGAUGUUGGUUUUGAUGAGGCAGCCUUUGGCUUUGAAAUGCGGCUUACUAGAGCGGUGGGUUUAUCUCCACUAAUAGUUAAAUUAGAUUCAUUUUGUAUGGUUCAAUUAAUUUUGGAUUGACGUAGUACUUGUAUUGAGUGUCUGAGUUAUUCUAACUUAUUUUUUAAGUGAAGCAUUUACUCUCUCUAAAGCAUUCUUUCAAGUUAGACAUAUCUAAGGAGUUUGUAAUAAAGCAGCGGAUUUAUUGGGAAAUUUACACUAAUAACCAAAAAAACUUUGCUUUUUUUCAUCUUAACCCCCCAAAAAUAUUUCUAUCAACAUUAGCCAUUAAACAACAUUUGAGUCCAAAAUACCCCUCCCUCAUCUCUUCCCCAACACUCCCUUUCUCUUAUCUCUCCCAAACCGAUCCAACUCCCAUCAUCGGCGGCGACAUCAACCCCGUCGGCGGCGGCUCCAUCUCUCACCGGCAUCCGAUCUACGAUCCACAACCUUCAACAAAACCUAGGUUAGUCAUUUUUCUUAUUUUCAUUAAUUUAAAAUGAGAUUUUAGAAUAAUAAUAGUUAUAGCUUGAGAUUGAUAAUGGUGGUGAUGAUGUUUGUGGUGGUUGGUGGUGUUUGGGAGUACUGUUUUUGAUUUUGGAGUGAUUGCGCUUAAUUUUGGGGGUGGGGAGGGAGGGGGGCAGGGCGCGCACCGGCGCCCAUCGCUGGGCAGCAGCGCGCGCCCAUGCGCGGCCUGCGGUCGCACCAAAUCUGGUGCGACAGCAGGCGCUGUCGCACCAAUUUUUUGGUGCGACAGGCGCGCGCCUGUCGCACCAGCUUUGGUGCGACAGGGCCUGUCGCACGAGUUUUUUGGAGCGACAGGCUUGCCUGUCGCACCAAAAAAUUAGAGUUUUUUUUUUACGAGUUAAUUUUUUAUUUCUGUAAAUAUAAUGUAAUAAUUUUAUAAAUAUUACAGAUACAUGGCGAAAUCAGAAUCACCGGAUAUUGAAGUAGGCAAGAUGUAUUUUCGUUAUGCUGAUCACUUUCCUGGUCGAAUUUCGAGCAUGUGUAUGUUAUCUUCGGUCGUAAAAGCUAUCGAGGAAAAAUUAACAAACCGGCAGUUGAGUAUGUUCAAAAAGGAUAUAUUUGGGCAUUUCUUGGAGUGUCGAAGUUUUCCAUUUAGUGGGGUAAUUUUGCAUAAUCUUUUACUGCGUCAAGUGGCUCAUGAAGAAGAUAGCCGUGAGGAUCAGUUAUGGUUUCAAAUUGGUAAGCAUUUGAUUCACUUGUCAAUUGUCGAAUGGUGCUUGGUUACUGGACUUUCAUUUGGUGUUGAUACCAAUGAAAAAAAUGAUGAAAUGGAGCAGAGGCUACGGAAUACGUAUUUUGGUGGUGUGCAUCGUAAGAUUAAUGUGAAGCAAUUUGAUGCCGUAUUUAAGGAGUUGAAUUUCGAGGAAAUAGACGAUAUGGACGCAUUAAAGAUUGCGUUGUUUUAUUUUGCGGACAGAGUACUAAAUGCAAGAAAAAAUCACUGUCAAAUUAAUUUCGAUUGGCUUGACCAAGUUGAUGAUAUUCAGUACUUCCGAAAGCGUCCAUGGGGUCUAUUGUCGUGGGAAAUGAUUUAUGAGAGUCUUGACAAUGCACUGUUCGAAAAAGACGAGAAAUUUAAGAAGACUCGGUUGAAAAAUCCAGAUCAUAAUAUUGAAAAAUACAAUCUUUACGGAUUUACGUCUGGGGUGCAGGUGCUUUUUUUUGUUUAUUAAUAAGUUUUAUAUUAUUAAAUAUUUGAUAGUUGUUUUAUUUGAUUUUUCACUUUGGUUGUUGUAGGCUUGGAUUUAUGAAGCAAUCGGAGGGUUACCAUCAACAUGGGUCGUCAAAACGAAGAGUAAGAUUCCCCGCAUUCUGCAAUGGAAGCCUAUGGCGUCUUCGAGAAUCAACUUUGCGGAGGUUUAUUCGUUCUUCAACGACGAAUCUCGUCUUGUAAGUAAUAUGUAUUACUUAUUUUUUUAACUUUACUAAAUUUAAGUUGGGUUUACUUACUUAAAUUUUUCAAUUAAAUUUAUGGCAGACGGACGUUUUACAAACUCUUGAGCCAAAUUCAAAGGAGAGUAGCAGAAAAUAUUGGCUCUCUGUGAAGGAUUACUUGCCAAGCAUUCCAGACUGGGUUCAUAAGGUCGGUAUACUGUAAGUACAAAAAUUUUUUUUAUCGAAAUUUUUGACUUUUCAUUUAGUAAUUUUAAAUGAUACUUUAUACAGCACCAACCCUCAAUCAACGCGAUGCCGUCGGUUACAAGACAAUCGGACGAGCAUGACGAUCAUGACGACAUACCAAACCCAAUACCAGAGCAGCGUCAUGACACUUUUGAGCAGCGUCAUGACGCUUUUGAGCAGCGUCAUGACACUUUUGAGGAUGAGGUGGCUGUUGAUGACCAGCAGCAAACAGACAACUCUGAUGACGCACGGGAUUCUGAGGUUAUAAAUAAUAUACGAUAUUUUUCACUUUGGUUGUUAUUAUUUUUUUAUUGUUAUUCUAAAGUUUUAUUUUUUUCUUUUGUAUUAGUCGAGGACAAAGCAGUUUAAUGAUUACGUACGACGACGGCUGGAUAAGAUUGAUCGUAACGUGUAUGAAAUAAAGUCAGAAUUAAAAGAUUUUAAAGAAACCGUUGUUGGCUUCAUCGACACAUUUUCUAAACGUCCAAAUAAGGAUUCUCUCACUGCACGCUCGUAUGCGGUAAGCUAAUUUAUAUUAAAUAAUUAUGUUCGUUUAACUUUUAAUUUGAUAAUUAAUGAAAAUUUGUCUACGCCCACGUCAUUGGUUAGUUUCUACGGGGAUGUUAGUGGGGAGAGCGUGCAGGUGUUCACAGAGGUGCCCACGUCAUUGGUUAGUUUCUACGGGGAUGUUAGUGGGGAGAGCGUGCAGGUGUUCACAGAGGUGCCUCCGGGCGUUAGUAAGAACGUCCGGAGGUUACCUCGACCCCAAAUCAUGGAGCAUGCGAUUGACAUGAGUACGAGUGUGGAUGUAAAUCCGCUGAGAGGAUUGGAGGACUCUAGUUGGUUUGCUGAGUUUGAUCGAUGGUUCACUGGUGAUAUCAGAGUCCGCCGGAACGUCCAGCACCCGCGGUCAUUCUUUCAAAUAAUUUUGGGGACAGCUUCGAUGGGAUGGCUAGGCGAUGAGGUAUUUAUAUUUUCCUCGUGGUGUAUACUGUUGUGUAUUUGUGUAUAAUUUUUUUUUUAAAUCGUAAUAUUUCUGUUUCUCUACAGCAUAUUCACGAGUAUCUCCGCUUGAUUAGCGGGAAACAACGGCAGUAUCCAAAUGCCUUACUCCAACGUGUCACAUACGGACACAUUUUUUUGGGUAACGUGCCGACAAAACUUACAAAUACUAUUUAAUUUCUUUAAUUAUUGCCUUUAAGUUUAAUUAAUUUAUGCAUUUCUUGGUUAUCUAUGUACUAGGUGUUCUUGAAUCAGUUAUGGAAUAACGGGAAUUGUGCAGUCGAUUCAAUGGUAUUCGACGACCGCUUGAAUAGUUAUCUGUGUGGGCGACAGCACACAAUGUCAAAAUCAAUGACGGAUGUCGAUAUGGUAUGUAUUUUAUUACAUUUCACAUGUUCUAUAAUGAAAAUAUUCGAGGAGUUGUUUUUUCUUUGUUGUAUUUCAAUUUCAUAUAUAACGAACAUGUUUUUAAAUUUUUAUAUGCAGUUACUCAUCCCUGUUAACUUGGACGGCGCGCAUUGGGUACUAGCACGAGUUGACUUUCGGAAAAAUAAAGUCUGGAUUUAUGACUCAUUACUCACAUUUCGCGACGACAAAAGGUACAAGUUAAAAUUCAAGCCACUUGAAGUUAUAUUCCCUCGCUGGUUGGAAUAUGUUGGCUUCUACAAUAUACGACCUGAGUUGCGGAGUGAAGACCCGUGGAAAGUUAUCGCAGUUAAGAGCGCGCCACAACAAGAGCCUGGAACUGGCGAUUGCGGUGUUUUUGUAUUGAUGGUUACGAUGUAUUUAAUGUUCGGGCUUAGGUUGGAGUUUAACGCUAGUCAUGUCGAGUACUUUAGAAAGAAGAUUGCGGUUGAUAUAUUUAAUGACGAUAUUAUAUUGUAGACCUAUGUAGUAAUUUCAAUGUUGAAAUUUACAUUUUUUUUUAAUUUCCGCACUUAAUUUUAUAUAAUUUUAAUGCCUCACAUUUUGAACUUUAAAAUAAAAUAAAGUUUUAUGAAUAAUAACAAUUUUAACCAAUGAAAUACAAAAAACAAUAACAGUUUUAACCAACGUAACACAAAAACAAUAAUAGUUUUAACCAACGAAUAACACACAAAAUACAACUAACUUCGAGUCGACGCAAUAGGAUUCUUACAUCGCUUACGAUUAUGGCCAAGUUCAUGACACCGGCCGCAUCUUACAGUUCGCCGGUCAACGUCCUCGCCAGCCGAGGGUAUUCUGCGCUCUUUACGACGUCCAGGUGGCGGUGCCUCAACUGGUGGGUAUACCUGCAGCUCCUGAAUUUCAUCUGGAACUUCCCAAUCAGCCACAUCACCAACUGGCUCCACUGGUUGUGCAUAAGCCAUCGCCAACGAUUCUGUAGUGUAAAAGUCCGAGCAAAGGUUAAUAAAAUCCACCCGGUGUGUUAGACACGCCGCAAUUGCAUGAGCACACACAAGCUGAUCAAGCUGAAACACUCUGCAGGAGCAAGUUCUCUUUUGCAAGUCAACCAACCCUUCCUUAAGCCCACCGCCUAUAACUUGAAAGCGAUGCGGAGACACCGGCCGAACUAUCAUUCUUUCAGCUAUAGUUCUCCUCUCAGUGACUAUUUCAUCCGCCCAUGUUGUUAGCCGAGUAGUCAUGGAUUCAGCCACAAUUUUUCUAUCAUAAAACCAUUGCUGCAAUGUUUUCCUGAAGUGAUCAACAAGAUGAGUAACAGGAAAUUUUCGAGGUUCCCUCAUGAAAGCAUUAACACUCUCCGCGAUGUUGGUGGUAAGAAUGCUGUACCUCCUACCUUCAAACUGAGACCUUGCCCAAUUACACGUACCGACAUUAUUUUCUAGGUAAUCAGCCGCACCCGAGUGGAUCAUCCACAACCCUUCAAGUUGUCUCUUAAAUUCCUCGUGGCCAUAUGCUUUUGCUGCAUUAAUAAAGGCAGGCUCAAAUUCAUCCCAAAGAGCUUUGGACAUUCUAAAUUGUGACUUAAUGUUACCUUUGACGUGGUAAAAAAAAACGCCAUGAGUUGCAUUGUGAAAUACUUUAAGAACGGCUCUCCUUAUGGCAGUGCAUCGAUCAGAGAUAAUUACCAACUCAGGUCUAUCACCAAUCACUCCAUGUAACUUCAUCAUAAACCAUUCCCAAGCAUCAUUAUUUUCUGAAUCCAUGAUCCCAAUGGCUAACGGAUACAAUUGAUUGUUACCAUCAAGACAUGUUGCCACGAACAUGCUUCCACGAUAUAAUCCCUUCAGAUGAGUACCAUCUACAGCAAUGACAGGCCGAAUGUACUGCAUAAACCCCUUGAUGGAAGAUCCGAGUGCUACAAAAUAGUACAAGAAAUUACCAUCUCCAUCCUGCUCGAGGUGAGUGACUGUACCCUCAUUCGCUGUAGUUAGUACGUGAGAGUAUUUAGGGAGCAAGUUGUAUGACUCUGCAGGGUUGCCGCGUACUAUUUCAAGACCAACUUCUCUCGCCCUAUAUGCCUGCUGGUAUGUUAACUGAACACCGUAUUCCUGUUGCAUAUCUGCUCUUAUGUCAUUGGGAGUAUAAAUCCUCUUAUCUUGAAUAUAUUUUUCUGUGAUAAUAUGAUCGACAACCCGGCUCCUUAGUUGAUGACGUCCAUCAACCAAUACCUCAUUAUGACAAGUGUGUACAUUAUCAAUUCUCUUCACCACCCAAGGAACAUGUUGCUCGUUCGAACUUCUAGUUGCUCGAAUACGCCAUUUACAUGAUUCUGAACAACAGUGAGCCUCGAAACGUGUCGUAGUAGACCGUGCAAUCUUGAAAUCAAACUUAUCUCUAAAGGCCACCUUGCGUAGUUGUAAUAUAAGCUCAUUCUUCUCAGCAAAUAGCUUACCCACACUGAUAUCAUCUGAGUCACAACUGCUAACAAAGCUUGGAGCAACCAUGUUCGAAGGUAAAGUUGGAGCAAGACUUGUAAGGGGGUCAAUUCUCCUUCUCGAUCGAACCAUAGAAGGAAUAGGUCUAUUGCCUCUGUUAUUCAUAGGAGUAUUGUCUUCACACUCAUCCUCAUCCUGAAACGACGGAACAUUCGAAGGACCGGCUCCUCCAUCAUCACCAUCAUUAUUGAAACGAGUGCCCCGCCUUGUAUUAUUAGAAGGUUCUGCACAAACAUUAUCCCCCUCUGUCUCAUUAUGAAAAUCAUCAUUGUCCCGAAAAUCAUUGUUGUGAUACGGAGAAUAUUGUUGCUCCAACGACGUUGUUAUUGGAAAUACCGUUGCUCCAACAUCCUGUAACGUAACGCCAUUAUCAUCAAUGUUGUCAUAAUUAUCGUGGAUUGGAGAGUAAUAUUGCUGCAGCGAUAUUGUCCUUGGCAACACCUCUUCAUCAUUAUCGGGGCCAGACAUAUUUGCUCUAAACGAAGUUUCUGUAUCGACAUGUGGCUCAAUACCUUCGCUCGGAACUCGAGGUGAUGUGGUCACGAAUAUAGGAAUGCAUCCAAAAUUAGCUACGUCAGAUGCCAUAUGCAACACAACCCUCACCAUUUCAUCAUCACAUAUAUCCAUGGGCAUUGCACAUAUACGAUAUAAUGUGUUACUAGACCUCAAAGUUGUCUUCAUUGUGAUACUAUAGUCAUUACGAUUUAUUUUUAACACCUCAUAUACUCUUGUCAAUAACUGAUCAAACAGGUAAUUUUUUCCAACCAAAAAAGCUCGAUUUUUACCAUUCACGUACUCCAUACAGCCAUUCUCUAAUGUCUCCCACCAACCAUCGUAACACAAUUCAAGUACAACUGAAUCCAUUAAGCCUGAAAUUAAAAAAAAAUAUUUUAUUUCAGUCCUAAUUAAAAUAAUACAAUUUUAAUAAAUCUCCAAGAGUGGGUCUCCCACCAACCAUCGUAACACAAUUCAAGUACAACUGAAUCCAUUAAGCCUGAAAUUAAAAAAAAAUAUUUCCUGUCGCACCAAGUUUUGCUGCGACAGGCAGCCUGUCGCACCAAGUUUUGCUGCGACAGGCAGCCUGUCGCCAGAUUCAGAUUCACCCGACUCAGUUCAGUAAGUUCAGAAAAUAAUUCAUACCAGUAAGUGACGUCGAUUUGUGUUGAAUUUGGAUAGAUUAUGAUCGGAUAUCACUUUUACAGUUGUCUUUUGCGGUCGCCGUUGGCUUAUGAUUCAAGAAUGAAAAGCUGCUUUUGGUUUGGCGAGAUGGGAGAAACAAUGUUGGUUUUGUUCUGUAAAGAAGGGUAAUUUGGGAAGAAAGGCUUGUGUUUGGCUAAUGUUGAUAGAAAAAAGUUGAGAGGGUUAAUUACGAAAAUAAUAAAAUAUUAAUGGUUAUUUUUGUAAAUUUCCCGGAUUUAUUAGCAAAAUAUUCUAUCAAUUGUUUAGUUUCUUAUGUUUAGUUGGAAGAAUUUCAACCGUAUCUGUGUUGUUGUCUUUAAGACUAAUAGUCCUGAUGUUACAAAUAAUGUAAUAAAUGAAGUCAAAAUCCUCCACCUGCUCUCUGACCAAUUGGGUGGGGUUUGGUAAUUGGUUGGUCUGAUCAGUCAUCAGUUUUUGACUUACAGUACGAGUAGUCAAUUUUUUUUGUUAACAAUAAUAUGGAUGUAAAAGAUCAAUACCCCACCAAAAUCAAUUUACAAACAAACAAUUAAUUACACUACCGCACGUUGCUAUUUUAUCAACCUUAUCGACCCUAAUAAAAAAUUAAUUAAUUUUUAAGGAUCUCUUAAGUUAUAUUUUAUGUAUCUUAAAUCCGCUCACUAUUUAUGUGAGUAAGUGUAAAAUAUAUAAAUGUAUCUUAAAGUUUACCAAUUUUCAAAGCUAAAACCUACUAACACAUAAAAAUAAAACUUUACCAUUUUUUUAAUGGCUUUUGCUACCUUACGUUGCUUGUAAGGUACAGCCUCUCACAAGGCUGGUGGGCCCAAGUGGGAUCCACAUCUGAGUUUGUGAGAGGCUGUACCUUACAUGCAACGUAAGGUAGCAGCUCCCUUUUUUAAUUUGUAAUCGAGUCUAGUAACUUGCACCGAUUGUACAAAAAUAAAAUAAUAUAAUUAUCCAAUAAUUUUCAGUGUCUUAUCUGUACAGCUAUUUUGCCCGAUCAUCCCAACGGCAACUUCCUAAUGUAAUUUAUUCCUCGCAUUAUUUAUGGACUGAUUUCAUUAGAAACUCCAAUAGGGCGGGUGGAAAUUAGUUAAAAAAUAAUAAUCAUUAUUAUCUCUCAAUGAUUUGUUUUUUGGUAGGUGUUAAUUUGUGGAUUUGUCGUCUCCGCGUUUUGUUAUCUUAUCCUCUUAUAAAUUAGUUCUCAUAAAAAAGGAUUAAAUUUAAAUUAUUAUAUUAAAAAUAACAUUUUUAUUCUGCUUAAAUAAAAGAUCAUCAUUGACUUUUUUUAGUAAAUUAAUAAUAACGAUGCACAUUAAUCACUUGAAUUUUGAGUUUGGAGAAGGGGAAAUAGGGUACAUGCGGCAUAGGGGCAUAAUUUCGAAUAACAAGGAAAAUUAAUAAUAAAUUAGGAAAAAGGAGUGGGUAAACCAUUAUUAGAUCAUGAUCCUCUCCUUAUCUGAACACUCCUGAUUUUUUACAGAUUUUAUGCCACUUAUGUUUUAGUGUUAGUGAAUUAUUAGAAUUUAAUAAAUUUUUUUAAUUUAUUAACCACCAAUCAUAUUAACAAAAUUUGUUCAAAUGAAAAUAAAAUCGAUCCUGAUCCAUCAUUAUUAUCUCAUGUUUCAACCCUAGCAUAGCUAGGGAUGGCAAUUGUACCCGCAAAUCCGUCCAAACCCAUCCGCCAAAACCCGUCCGUUGCGGGUAAUUUUACCCGUUGCGGGCGGGUUUAGUAUUAUAAAUUAAAACCCACACAUGGAUGCGGGUGGGUUUGGUAUUAACCUUAUAUCCGGUGGAUACCCGCAUGGAUAUCCACCAAACCCGCAAUAUUUUUUUCAAAUAUUUUUAAUUUAAUUUAAAUCUAAAAAUGUAUAAAGAAAAUAAUGUCAUUAAUUAAAUUACCAAAUAGCCAAAGGCUCAAAGUUGUGUAUGUGUGUAUGUGGCCUAUAUCCUAUUCUAAAGUCAUAAUCUAAAGAAAACUAAAGGCAUUUUCCUUCGAAUUAGUAUUUGAAAAUAUUAAUCUUAAUUAUUAUUAUAGGCAUUGUGUUGGAUGGGUGCUUAUGGUGGUGAAUGAAAUGAAUAUCUUCUCUUGGAGCUUAUUUUAAAUGAUAAUAUGAAAUGUAAUUAUUAUUUUUAGAUACUAGUUUGUGUUUUUUAAAUGGAUUUGUGUAAUUUAUACUUAAAUUUGAGAAUUUGUGUUGAAUUGAUGUGGAAAUUUUAAUUUUUCAUUUACAUUAUUUAAAUAUAAAAUUGAGUAUGUUAUAUGGAAUUUGAGGUUAUUAUUAUAAAUUUAUAUAUUAAACAUUUGUGAUUUUAAAUAAGGAAACCCGCAAAAAAUCCGCCGAAUACCAUUGCGGGUUUGGUAAUUGUUAAAAUCCGCUGCGAGUGGGUUUUUGUAAAAAAAUUAAAACUCGCUGCGGGUUGCGGGUGGGUUUGGUAAUUUAAAUUUUGUGCGGGUUUGGGUUUGGUAAUGGCAAACCCGCUGCGGGCGGUGCCCAUUGCCAUCCCUAAGCACAACCCCUUUUUCAGACUUAUUUAGUUAUUUUCAAUAAAAAAAUAGUUUUGAUGAUGUCAUCAAUACGCAAUAGGGAUGGCGCGUGGGCACAAUUUAUAAUUACGUGAAUGAAUGAAAAAAUAAAUAAAAUAAACGACGUAAACGUGGAAAAAUUGUUUUCGAGGGAAAAAAAAGUGAAGAACUUACAUGGGGCUUCACUUCAUGAUGGGAGGCCCAUCGAGUUAUCACAUUCACUUAUGAUACAAGAAUAAUGCAAAUGGCCGCUGCCAAGUCAUCACAUUCAUUAAAUAAUUUUUAAAGUUUGUUUUUAAUGCUAAAAAAUAUUAAAAAUGAAAUUUUCAAAUAAUAAACACAAAAAAUAAUUAAUGAGAAUUUUUUUAAUGUGAAUAAGUGGUAAAAACUAAAAAAUAAAUGAUAUCCUAAUUCUUUUGGCUAAAUAUCAAUUUGUUAGUUAGAUACUUCAAGUUUAUUUCAUGUCUCUAAUUUUGGUUAGUCUUUUUCAUUUGUUAGUUCAUUUAUUUUAAUUUAGUAUUCCAACAAUUUUGUGGUUAGUGUUCCUACUAAAUUCAUUCAAUAAUAAUAUUUUAGAUAAAAUUCUAGUAAAUUUUAUUUCUUAUUAGACAAUUUCGUAAUUUCGGUUAAACUCCCUCACUUAUGAGUUCAUAUGUUUCACUUAAUAAUUUCACUACCUUUGAGUUGAAUGUUCAUAUUAUCUAGGUUAAACUUGUAAGAUUUCAAUUAUUUGGAUUAAUUACUAAAUUUACUUUUUAGAAUUUUUUGGUUGAAUUCGUCUUAAAGUUCGGUUAAGCUUUCUUAAUUGCUUGUAGCAAAGUUUGAGCAUGGGGCUUCCAUAAAUUCAGAUCCCGAAAUAUUAGCGCCAGAAGAUAAAUCUUCCACGUGGUGUGGGAUAGAGAUUGCAGUAUAUAAAUCUUUAGUAUGAGGAUGGAGAUCUAAAGCCUCUAAUAGUCUACAUAAUCCUGAACCAUGCUCGGCAGAAAUAGUCUACAUAAUUCUGAACCAUGCUCGGCAGACCUCUAGGCUAAUGUUAUGUGUAUUCGAACUCUAAUAGAAUCCGGCUAACUUGGUACCAGAUCAAAUAUCGUUAAUUUUUCUGGCACGGCUGAACUUGCAAAUAGAACCAAGAACCUCAUUGGGUAGCGCCGGUCUGGCUGCAUUGCUGCCUUCAAACCACGAAAGGGUAAAUAAUUUUCUGUUGCCGCUCCGUCAUAACCCAAAAGGCCAUGGAUUCCAAAUUGGAGGCCGAAGCUGUUGUCCCUUGUAGACAAAAUCUUCCACUUCCGUGUGAAUUGGAACAACACCACACAUUUUCACCGCAGCGUCCCAAAAAUUUUCACCAACGUAAAAAAUGUUGAAAGAAGCCUUUGUAAGUACUUGAAAACGCUUUGUUUUAAAAGUCUCCAGGGGCAAAUAGGCCAGCCAAAGGUGAUCGGACUCGAGGGUUGCGAAACUAGGGAUGGCAACGCUGAAGUUGUAAUCAUCUUCCUUUGCUUCUAUUUUACAUUGAUCUCCAUGUAGGACAUGUCCGUACAACAAGGGAGAGAUAAUACCGCACAAACAGCAAAUCCUGAGAAAUUAUGAUCCGAUCUAAGACCAGAAGCUUGGAUUGUUACCGAACCACCAAUAUUCCAAUAACUGAACCACCUUGGAAUUUCAUUCCCAGGAAUAAAAAGAUGAAACUGAGAAGAACAAUUAGGGAGUUCCUGUAAUGUUAAAUAAUGACCAUUAGUAAGCUUGUACACAUGUAACAAGCACGGAAAUUAUUAAUAGAUAAGCAAAGGAAAAGAAAUUCGCUUAAAAACUUCAUUGUCAUUCAUUAGUCACAAGUCUGAAUGAAAUAUCUUCUAAUUUCUCUUUCUACGGUCUACCACUCUUUCGGAAGCUCGCUUACAAGUUCCAUGUUCCAAUUCCUGUGGAUAUGAAAUAAAGAUUUAGCUAAGGAUAAUUUUAGAGAAGCCACUAAUCCAAACAUAUGUAUAUGUGAACGAUCAAUAGUUGAGGACUAUCCAAGAACCAGACCAUAUUUUUUACUUUGUACUGGCCAGAGCCAAGUCUUGUCCUAAGCAACUAAGCAGUCACCCAAGGACCUCAACGUAAGACUAAAUGGAAAUAAAGUAUUUUUGUUUCCUAUCUCAUUUUUGCGUGCAAGUCCUUCUCUUUAAGGGGUAAAAAAAUUGGUAGAUACCCAAAACCUUCAAAAACCAACAUGUUAAACAUUUUGAUAGUCUAAAUGUUAUUAUAACAACAAACUAACAUCCUAGUGCUCAAAACUAUCAACUGACAGAGACUAAUGAAAGUGAGUUACCACAAGCCAUUGUUCCAGCAACAUAGCUAUCAAGUUGUCUCUACCAACUUGAUCCCCAGCCAGCUUGAAGCAAUUUGAAAAAUUUAGAGCCACGUCAGCGGUCCAGUUUAACUUUGGGUUAAUAGAUAUUGUUUCCAAAGUACAGCCUUCGGCCCCAACAAAAACUAUUUCUGGUGGAAGCUCUGGCAACGAUUUAAGAUUCCGGCAUCUCUCCAAGCAAAAAAUUUUAAGCUUUAAAAGUUGGUUUAUGCUAGAUGGUAGGCUGACAAAAUUGUUCCCACUUAAAUCUAUUGCUUCUACUGAGAAUAAGGAGCCAAUAUCAAAAGGAAUUGCUCCUUCCAAAAGAUUGCAGUCACUAAAAUUUAAAGUUUGUAGAGAGCUUAAACCAGUGAAACGAGGAAAGGACAAGCACAUGGAAUUAGAAUUUUUAUUUGGCAACCACAACGAAAGGAAGAAACCUGAACUCAAGAUUUUUGGGGGUUGUCCUUUACAUCCAUGGAGAGAGAAUAUUUUGAGAUUCAUCAACUGUACAAUGGAGGGUGUUAUUUGUCUUACUGCAGUGCCACCUACAUCUAGUUCUUCCAAACACUCAACUUCCCCCAAGUCCUGAGGCAAUUUCUCUAAUUUUAAACAUCCACAAAGACACAGUAUCUUUAGAGACUUCAUAAGACAGACAUUUUUUGGAAAGCUGACAAGAUUUCUGCAGUCUUUUAAAUUCAAUAAAAUUAGUCUUUUAAGAGUUCCAACAGAUUGGUGAACCUCGAGCAAUCUUGUACAGCCUUCAAGAUUCAGUCGCUGAAGAUUUGGAACCCCUGUAAAGUCAGGGGUUCUGCUAAGGUUACAAGAGUGACUGCGAUUCAUGAAUUUCAACUCCUUAAAAGGCUGCAAGAAACAAUGAAUAAAUUACCAAGAACUUCCUUCAGUGACUGUUAUUUUGUGUAUAUUGAAUGCAAUACAGAAUUGAUACCUUAAUGCCCUUCCAAAGAUAUUUGAUGCGACUAUUACACAGGUUCAACUUAAAAAGUCUCUGGCCGGAAACUCACAGGCUAAGAAUUAAACGGAUAUCCAUGCCAUUUGAGAUACCGCAAAUUAUUUGAGAGGUAUUCAAGAUUGCCCGAAGGAUAAACAUUGUUGAUUUCAAGUAACCUUAGAUUGCUCAUGGUUGAAAAUGAUUUAGCUUCCAAUUGCGUGAUCUCAGGCACAUCAACAAUUAUAGCUUCAAAUGCAUCUGUUCCCUAAUAAAUAAAGGAAACAGAAAUAAAAUUAAAAGGUGAAAAUCAAUGAUCAAAACAGAGAGAAGUUAUCUUGAACUAUAGUUUUCACUUUUAGUAAGACAAUAAUGUAUGGAAUUAUGUUCCCUGACAAAUAUCUUACCAUAUUUUUUGAUAAAACAUGAUACACAUCCUUAUAAAGCCAUAAUCUACUCCAUUUGCCAGGCUUUUCCCUAUGGUGCUCUCGAACAAUUUCCCAACCCAUUUCUUGUAGCAAAUCAUGCAUCCACAGUUUGUUAUUUACAAUAGUUAUCAAGGAUUUGUCUAGGAGUUCUCUUAUCCCAAUAUCUGAGUUAAAACCGCAACUGUCUAGUUUUUUCCUGACUCGAUCUUUGUCCUUCGCCUUGAAGAAUCAUGCAAUAUCUAAGAAUAUCUCUUUAUCUCUUCUAUCAAGUCCAUCGUAACUUAUUCUGAGAACUUUCAAAACUUUUUCAUUAGGAGCUUCUUGUAGCCUAUUCAAAGCACUUUUCCAUUCCUCAACACUUCGACGACACAAAAAGGAUCCCAAAACUUCAAUUGCUAAUGGAAGCCCUCCUGCAUAAUUGACUACAUAUUUCGAGAGCUCAACACGGUCAUCUGUGGGUUGUUUGCCUUUGGAAACUUUCAAAUGAAAGAGUUGGAGAGCUUCAACAUAAUCCAGUCCUCGAACCUUAUAUAUAUUUGUUACUCCGUGGCUCUUCAGCACAUGUUCAUCUCUGCUUGUAAUAAUUAUUCUACUCCCAAAACCGAACCAAUCAUGAUUUCCAGCCAGCGCUUGCAAUUGUUCUAAUUGAUCCACAUCGUCAAGAACGACAAGGACUCUUUUGCCACAUAGCCGCCAUCUAAUCAAAUUAAUUCCUUUAUGAACGUCCCAUAUGAUUAAAUUUCUUUCCAUUAGGACCUCAGAAAGAAGCUGUUCUUGUAAAGGAACCAUACCUCUUGUUACAGAGACUUCUCUAACGUU
rnacentral:lncRNA from 1 species